rnacentral:lncRNA from 1 species
AAAUUUAUUGGUACUAUCUCACCUCAUUAAAUACUUAAAUAGACCUGACAGGACAGAAAAACGGGGCCUUUUUUAUUUUUUUUCUCUUUCCAAAGGGAGCUGGCGUUUCCCCGCGUCCCAAUUCACCUCUGCAGCAGCCGCUGGCAAAGAAAGGAGACGAAGGGCAAGGGAAGAGGAGCUGCGGCCAGCCGCCGCCGCCGCCGCCGCCGGGAGAUUCCCCGGCUCCCAGUCACAGCACUGGCUGUAGUCCCGGUGCUUGGAAGAGCAGGCUGACUGAAAAAAGCCCAGUCUGCACGGAUAUGGGCGGCAGGGGGCCGCGGGAUAAGCGAGGAGGGAGAAAUGUGAGACUUUAGAGCUGGAGAGGACCUUUGAGGCCACCUAGCAAAUAGCUCUGAACCGUGGUGUCAGAUUCCAACUGGGCCCAGGAUUCCCUGACCUUGGCAGUCUUAAUGCAGACUUGUAGAGAGUCACCAGCCUCUUGGCCCUGGGCAAGGAACAGUUGAUGGCAGAGGGCAGAUUUGAGAAGGGGGAUGGGCAAGAAACACUGUACCCCAGCUGCCUUCUGAGCUCCCUCAAACAACUGCGUAAUUUUCAGGAGGAAGAGAACAAUGGGGUGAGAAGAUGGGAAGUGAGACUUCUCAGAGAUGUACACCCCAAAGCGACACAAGUUUCCGGAACAACGAGCAUGCCAUCUGGAAUAAAAAGGGUUUGAGAG